AGGAUGUCAUGGUUUAACACAGCUUGGUUUUUAGUUAAAGAGAAAAUCCAUCAGUUACAAAGUGGUUCCCUGUAUGGACCUUGGCAGCUUCCUUUGGACUUGACAGAACCAAUUGUCUAGUUUGGAUACUGAGAACCUGCUAAACCACUUAAAAGAGCUGAAUACGCUUCUGUGAAUCACAUUUAAGAAAAAAAGAAUCCGCGGGAAUCUCUCUCUCCUGCUCCAGGCCCUUGAAGAGCGAAGUUCGCCCCGCUGCUGGCGCGGAGGCCCGGCGGGACAGGGGAGCCCUGCUAACAUAUUGCCGACACUAAGCCCUGCCCGGCCGCCGGCCUGGGCCGAGCCGCGGUCCGCCGGGCCCCGGGAGCAGAUCCGGGCCAGGCCGGGCCGUGGCCAGGGCUGCUGAGGUUCUGCCUGGCCGUUUCCUGCCGCCGCUUUCAUCAGCCAUCCCCGGGCAGGGAAGCCACGGUCCCGCGGCCCGGCUGGCUCUGCCCGGCUGCUGAGCUCCUUGCCGCCGCCCCUCAGCGCGGCCGCUGCCCAGCAGAGACCACGGCGCCAACAGCGAGAGAACAGCAAAGGAAUGGCCGUGAAUUUUCCAAGCUUUCUGAACAUGAUGUGGCAGUAAAGGACAAUGUUGUACAUACAGGGAAAAGGCAGAGCUGUGAGGAUGAAGCAUGAAGUAAUUGGAAGUUCUUCAAAUGGGCUGGGUGAAAUGGAACAGAAGGUGCAGCCUAGGCAGACAGAACUCUCUGAAUGCCCAGCCUGACAGUCUCAGGAUUGCUGUCUCGGUCUAACAAAGAGGAAACAGAUUUUACUGCAGUAGGACCAACGUAAUGAUUUCUACGAGCAUUGGCAGGACUUUUCCUGAAUGCAGUGUGAUUGCUUUCUAACUUACAUUGUUGUCUGCAUUUUGUGUAUACUGUAUAACCCAAAAAGGAAAUAAAAAAGUACCGCUUUUCUGAG